rnacentral:rRNA from 1 species
UAGAAGCAGCCAUCAUUUAAAGAAAGCGUAAUAGCUCACUGGUCGAGUCGGCCUGCGCGGAAGAUGUAACGGGGCUAAACCAUGCACCGAAGCUGCGGCAGCGACGCUUAUGCGUUGUUGGGUAGGGGAGCGUUCUGUAAGCCUGUGAAGGUGUGCUGUGAGGUAUGCUGGAGGUAUCAGAAGUGCGAAUGCUGACAUAAGUAACGAUAAAGCGGGUGAAAAGCCCGCUCGCCGGAAGACCAAGGGUUCCUGUCCAACGUUAAUCGGGGCAGGGUGAGUCGACCCCUAAGGCGAGGCCGAAAGGCGUAGUCGAUGGGAAACAGGUUAAUAUUCCUGUACUUGGUGUUACUGCGAAGGGGGGACGGAGAAGGCUAUGUUGGCCGGGCG